UACGUAGGGUGCGAGCGUUGUCCGGAAUUAUUGGGCGUAAAGAGCUCGUAGGCGGUUUGUCGCGUCUGCUGUGAAAUCUCGGGGCUCAACCCCGAGCGGUCGUGAGAAACUGGCAGGCUAGAGUGCGGGAGAGGAGAGUGGAAUUCCUGGUGUAGCGGUGAAAUGCGCAGAUAUCAGGAAGAACACCCGUGGCGAAGGCGGCUCUCUGGAACGCAACUGACGCUGAGACGCGAAAGCGUGGGGAGCAAACAGG
rnacentral:rRNA from 1 species